rnacentral:rRNA from 1 species
AACGAACGCUGGCGGCAGGCUUAACACGUGCAAGUCGAACGAGAUCUUCGGAUCUAGUGGCUGACGGGUGAGGAACACGUGGAAACAUCCCUUUCAGUUCGGAAUAACGUUGGAAAACUAACGCUAAUACCGGAUACGUCCUUCGGGAGAAAGAUUUAUCGCUGAAAGAUUGGCCCGCGUCUGAUUAGCUAGUUGGUGAGGUAAUGGCUCACCAAGGCUACGAUCAGUAGCUGAUCUGAGAGGAUGAUCAGCCACAUUGGGACUGAGACACGGCCCAAACUCCUACGGGAGGCAGCAGUGGGGAAUAUUGGACAAUGGGCGCAAGCCUGAUCCAGCCAUGCCGCGUGAGUGAUGACGGCCUUCGGGUUGUAAAGCUCUUUUGUCCGGGAAGAUAAUGACUGUACCGGAAGAAUAAGCCCCGGCAAACUUCGUGCCAGCCGCCGCAGUAA